rnacentral:pre_miRNA from 1 species
UCUUACAGAUGAGCAAAGAAAGUGGUUUCUUGAAACGGAAUCCACUCCUAGUGAAGGCGCUAUGAA